UGCAGGCAACACUGAGUUGCUGCAGCUACGUGUACAAGCUUACAAUGAGCUAGAACAGCAGUUGUAGAGGUAAGUUUUAGAGAGCCUUUAUUCCUUUUAACAGACAUAAAAUACAAUUAAAAUGUCUGCAACAUGUACAGGGCCCUUACAUGACAACAAGAUGCAUUUUCAACUAAGACAUUGUUUAAAUUCACCUACCCUCGUCCCUGUCUCCAUCCUGCCGGUAGCUAGUAGCUUGUCGUUGCUAGCUCCUAGCUGCUAGCUCGGAUGCUGCUAGCUGCUGCCGGUGAGUGUGUUCAGCCAGGCUUCUGUGAUAAUUAUCCCAACAACAAUCCACGUAGCAGUGGUGGUGUGGCUAUGUCCUCCAGGAGACAGGUCAUGUCACGUCUUGAAGUUUAUUCCCCCCUAAAAAAAAAAAAAGAGCGGUAGCAGCUGU